CUACGAGUUGCUGCAGUGGGGAAUAUUGCACAAUGGGGGAAACCCUGAUGCAGCAACGCCGCGUGGAGGAUGACGCAUUUCGGUGUGUAAACUCCUUUUAUAUAGGAAGAUAAUGACGGUACUAUAUGAAUAAGCACCGGCUAACUCCGUGCCAGCAGCCGCGGUAAUACGGAGGGUGCAAGCGUUACUCGGAAUCACUGGGCGUAAAGCGCGCGCAGGCGGCCCCUUAAGUUGGAUGUGAAAGCCUACGGCUUAACCGUAGAACUGCAUCCAAAACUGAGGGGCUAGAGUCUGGGAGGGGAAGAUGGAAUUAGUUGUGUAGGGGUAAAAUCCGUAGAGAUAACUAGGAAUACCAAAAGCGAAGGCGAUCUUCUGGAACAGUACUGACGCUGAGGCGCGAAAGCGUGGGGAGCAAACAGGAUUAGAUACCCGUGUAGUC
rnacentral:rRNA from 1 species